ACACAAGCAGUAUUACCUCAUAAAAGAGUGAAAAGCAAUAGAAGGAAAAAAAUAGAAAGCUUCAUGAGAAAUUCAACAAAGUAACGUCAUCCAUCCUAAAGGCAUUUUAAAAUGAGACUGAAAGGAGAGAACAAAGAUUGGGAAAUAUCUGAAGUGAUUUUUCUCUCUCAAAGACUGAAGAGCCACCAUAUUUAGACUUGAAAAUUACAGUCCCAGAUGUGUUACUGAAGGAAAAGGAAUUGGCACUAAAGAAAGCCUUGAAGGUGACUAAAGGAGAUGCUGUGGAGUACUUAGAGCUUGGUCAAACAUGGAAGAAACUAUGGUUCAUCCACUGCAUCCCAAGUCAUCACCAGUCAUCUCGACUUUGGUUUUGCCAUUGGACUUUGAUUAACUCUAAGAGAGAGGUUAAACAAAAAGAGCUUCAUAAUACAACUCUACCUUAGUACUUCAGUUGAAAGGAUAUUCUCAUAAAUAUGCUUUGGGAUAAUUGAGUCAUGCAAUAGAGGAGCUGUAACUCUGAGAAGCUGAACUAAUCAAUUCAACUAAAAGAGAAACUUUUGCAUAGCACUAUGUGACAUAAUGACAAGAGCCAAGUACAAGACUACUUCUCAGUGUGACACCUUGAUAAUGGUUCUGAAGAUGAAGGCAAGGGCACAGUUAAAACCUCCAAGAAUAGAUUUUAUGACGACCUGUUCUGACUGCCAAUUGGAGAGCAAAGAAACUGAAAUAUCUCCUUACGGCUAUAAGAUUCAUUUAUUCAAUAAAUAGAUCUUCACUGCCUAA